CCAGUGCACUUGGGUUUCUCCACAUCUCUGUAUCUCAAGGAUCACUCAUGGGACAUGAAGCCUUCCUUAGAAGAAAACCUUUGAUGCCAGCCUAGUCCUUCUGAGUCAGCUCCCCAGCAUGCAAGUCCAUAAGCACAGCCAAACAGAGGAAAAUAACAGUGAUGUACUGCAGCGUAGAAGACAUAUAAAUCUGUUGUCACCACUGGUUGGCUGGCUCAGCACCCUCACCUGCACUGUACUGCAACUCCAGUUAGCACAGAACACCUCAGUGUCACCGGUGAGUGCAUCAAGUAUAAUGUGCUUUUUUAAACUUUUAAGGCUUCCCCUCCAGCUUGCACAAUAUUACUCAGCUAGAUCUCCUAAUUUCCUACAUGCAAAACCUGAGCUCUUUGUUCUGAAGGCACACAGCUUUCACCUGCUGCCAAAGGGGAACCCAUCUGGGUGCUGCGACUUCCACCCUUUUGAAUUGAGUUGUGCC
rnacentral:lncRNA from 14 species